UUGUCGCCAUUUGCGAUCGUGCGUGAGGGAUAGAAGCGACAUCCUUUUGUGAAGUUUGCGAAACAAAAGAUAUAGCGGAUAGCCCGACUUUGC
rnacentral:sRNA from 1 species